rnacentral:misc_RNA from 1 species
UAGGAAAAAUUAAAAGCAAUUUAUAGUAGAACCAAAAUAUAACAGGGAUUCCUGAAUGUAAAAUUUAUGUAUAAUUAUAACAUUUACAGCAUUUAUAUAUAUUAUUACAGAUCCAUUUGUAAGAGUUCAUCCUUUUGAAACAGCUCAAUUUUUAGUUGAUAGCAUUAUUGAACAUUAUAAAGAGGAGUUAAAAAGCCAAGCUGCAAAAAUCUUGGGUGCCGUCGACUUCCUCGGCAAUCCCCUCGGUCUGCUGUACGACGUGUCCGACGGAGUGAAUGACCUCUUGAACGAGGGAGACGUGAGAGGUCUGAUAAAGAACGUUGCCCACGGAUUGUCCGAUUCCGCGGCCAAAAUGACCGGAUCCCUGUCCGACAGUUUGGGUCUGGUGGCCAUGGAUAAUCACCAUCAAGAGAUUAGAAAAAAGAUUAAAUACGACGUUAAUGCAGGAAGCGAUCAUUUGGUCGCAGGACUGAAAGGAUUUGGAUAUGGUUUAUUUGGAGGAGUCACUAGUCUAAUUACGCAAACGUACGAAGGAGCUUCGACGGAAGGUGUUCAGGGUUUUUUCUCGGGAUUGGGAAAAGGUCUGGUGGGAACGGUAGCCAAACCGGCCGCCGGAUUUCUGGAUCUGGCCACGGGCGCGGCCAGCGCCGUCCGAGACACCAGUCGUAGAAAUUCUCACGCCCAACCCGAGAGGUGUCGUCUGCCCAGGGUCUGUUUCGGACCGGGCGGUCUCCUCCCUCCUUAUAAUGCCGACCAGGCUAGAGGUCAGCAGAUUUUCUUUGCAGUCAGUAGCAAUCAUCACGAAAGAUUCGUAUCGUAUCACUGUCUGAGGAGGGCAGAAGGAAUGGAGCUGCUACUGACCGACGCACACAUAAUCAUUGUCAAUAGGAGUUCGACAUCCACCGAUCAGAUUCUUUUAGUGUCACUAGAGAAUUUAUUAGAAUGUGCUUAUGUUCAGCCGACCGUGGGAGAAAUUAGGCACUACGUACAGCUAACGUUAAAGGCGGGAACACCGAGUUUGGCCGAUCAACCCGGAAAGAGACCUCAAUUUCGCUGUGAUACACAAACAUUGGCAUACACCGUUGUGGAAGAAAUAAAUUACGUCAAAGAGCUUCACGAAGAGAGAUUUUAUACUUUACCUGAAGACGAAAUAGAAGAAUUAGACGAUUGAUUAUUAGAAUUCUGUUGUGUUGUAAUAUAUUUAAAAUGUGUAUAGAAACAAUUUGUACAAAACAAUAAAAUUUAUUUCAAUUUGAUACUUUUACAAACUCCAGCACGAAUACCAGAUAUUUCUCCUCCAUAUCUUUGCAAUUCUUUCAUUGGUUCCCGAAACUGAAAAGAAAAAAAAAUAACAGCAUUGAAGAUCAAAUCAAGUUACAGAAAAUUUGUUAGUCAUAAUCCAGAAAGGCAGAAAGCCAAAGGUGAUACCAAUAAAAAAACCAAACUAUGAACAGCAUUUCCACUAUGUAAGUGUAAUAAGGCCCAUUGUAGAUCAAAUGAUAGCAUGGGUGCACAAUUUCAGAGCAUCACACAGGUGUCACGGUUUGGAGGCAAGUUAUGACAAUGACUACUUGCUAUUAUAUGGACAGAAUGGUAUACCCUAUUGUAUCCUUCAUGACCAACAGGAUAAUGCUUGUCAUUGCAAGAUGUCAUCUGUGGACUGCCUAGCACCCAGAUUUAUCCUCCCAUGGAUCAUGUUUAGGAUUCCAGGGAAUAGUCACAUGGUCAUCAGUACAAACUGAUGGUCAACUGACUGCAUGAGUCAUGGAGAGAGAUCCAAAAGCAUAUAGAUGCUCAUGAUGGGCACACUUCUGGGUAUUUCCCAACAAAUGUGUACCUCAGACGUUCAGCACCACCAUCUUGUUAGCCUAGAAGUUUGACAAUGGCGUUUGGAACGUCAGUGGAAUCAUGCUCGACAUUCCAAAUGCCAUUGUCAUUGAACUGUCCAAUGUACACAUUUUCGCAUUGAAAA